rnacentral:snoRNA from 1 species
UUUGAGUUUAAACUAUACACUUGCACUUGUUUUCUUAGUGCUUGUAGUCUGAAAAAACUCAUAAAUUACCAGUGUUCUCAUCAGCUUUGGUCUCCUUAACCAUGAGACUUGAGUUAAACAAGAUCACUACAUUA